rnacentral:rRNA from 1 species
CACACCGCCCGUCCACACCAUGGGAGUUGGUUCUACCCCGAAGAUGGUGCGCUAACCGCAAGGAGGCAGCCAGCCACGGUAGGGUCAGCGACUGGGUG